rnacentral:rRNA from 1 species
CCUACGGGUGGCAGCAGUGAGGAAUAUUGGUCAAUGGACGAGAGUCUGAACCAGCCAAGUAGCGUGAAGGAUGACUGCCCUAUGGGUUGUAAACUUCUUUUAUAUGGGAAUAAAAUGUUCCACGUGUGGGAUUUUGUAUGUACCAUAUGAAUAAGGAUCGGCUAACUCCGUGCCAGCAGCCGCGGUAAUACGGAGGGUCCGAGCGUUAUCCGGAUUUAUUGGGUUUAAAGGGAGCGUAGGUGGAUUGUUAAGUCAGUUGUGAAAGUUUGCGGCUCAACCGUAAAAUUGCAGUUGAAACUGGCAGUCUUGAGUACAGUAGAGGUGGGCGGAAUUCGUGGUGUAGCGGUGAAAUGCUUAGAUAUCACGAAGAACUCCGAUUGCGAAGGCAGUUCACUGGACUGCAACUGACACUGAGGCUCGAAAGUGUGGGUAUCAAACAGGAUUAGAUACCCUAGUAGUC